GGGCCAGCAGGCCAAGGUACGGGGCUCCUUCCCAAGUCUCUUCCUCAGUGACCCUGCCAGGAUGGUUUGGAGGGAAGAGACACAGCUGCAGAGCGUGAUAGAAACUCGAAGAUACAAAAGGUACAGAUGAUGUUGUGACAAUGACUUCAGAUAAAAUUACACACCAUAAUCAUUAACUACAAGUUACAGAUUGGCAGCAGGGCCAUAAAUACAAUAUCAGACCUGGAAACAAAAUCUUGAGCUAUAAAUGUUCCUUCAAGUAGCCUCAUUAUGCAAGUAAAGAAUCACAGGCCAAAGUAACUUACCCAAAAUGGCACAGUUAGAAAAUGAUGAAGCCAGAACUAUAGUCUAGAGUUUCUUAUUCUUUAUUCUUAUUCUGUCAAACUCUGAAGGCACUAUUUGAUAAAAAUGCCAUCCUGAAGGCAACAUUAGUAACUGCCACUUGAAUGAUCUGGAAUUCAGGAUCAGUUAUCAACAAAUACAUUGCACGUGGAAAACCAAAGUUCCCUGAAAGAAAUUGGGGACACUGGAACAAUCUGUAGGGAUGAGGCAAUGGUCAUACUGUGGGAAAUACGCAAGAACCCUAAGAGAAACAUGGUCUUCUACAAAGCGUGGACUCCGUGAAGACAAGUGUUGUGUGGAUUCAUUUCUCUCCACAGUGCAUAGCAACACCUGGCAAUGGACGAUCAACAAAGCCUUGUAUGCCCAAAAUGAGUGGCUCUGCACGGAUCUUCACAAUGACACAAAUAAGGGGAAUGCUCAUGUGAAUGGGUUAUCGAUAUGGAGCACAGCACCUCCCUGAAGGUUGCACUAUUUACAGAAACGAAGGGGAGUUGUUGGCAUUCCCUCUGUUGAGUGAUAACAACAGACCACACCUCAUUGAUUUGAAAGUUGAUGGCCUUAUUAAGAAAGAAAUAGAAUGUCUCAAACCGGAAAUAGAAUGUCUCUCUUUCCUUCAGAUCUGCUUUAAAAUUCACCUUUGCUGACCACUAACACUACUAUUAUCUCUUGUCAUGAGUUUCAUGAAUGCAUAUGAUU